UGAAUUGAAUGAAUUAAGUCAGGCUAAUUAAUUCGUUUAUUUGGAGAGAUAAUGAUAAAGAAAAAUAAGAGAAGAGUUUACAAAGGAGAUUUAUAAUAGGUUAAGGUUAGGAAGUUCAAACUAGAUA